GCACUGCUGACGAAUCCUUUAAUAGGACGAAACGGCCGUCCAGUGC
rnacentral:hammerhead_ribozyme from 1 species